rnacentral:rRNA from 1 species
AUGGCAGCAGCUUAUAGCUUUAUUAUUAAUAAGUUUAAAUCCAAACUUAACAUUUGCAAGGCUAGUAGGCUCUCUCAUGUAGGAAGGCUUACUCUUAUCAAAUCGGUCUUUGCUUCCUUGCCGGUUUACUAUAUGUCCAAUAUCCUCUUAAGCAAGUCCAUCAUAAAAAAACUCACUUCCACUGUUAGAAAAUUUUCGUGGAUGGGAAUUCAGAAGGAUGACAAGGCAAAGCCUAUUUUCUUUAGAGCUUGGGAUGAUAUUUGUAGACCUAUGCAUAAAGGAGGAUUGAGCAUUAGGAAUUUAGCCAUUAUUAACGAAUCCUUGAUUACUAAUAUGGCUUGGAAUAUCAUUAAUAAUUCCGCCCCUUUAAUUGCUAAGGUUCAUAAAUCAAAAUAUUUUCGUAACUCUACCAUAUGGAAACAUAAUAUUUAUUCCCCCAAAUCUGCAUUCUGGACCUCCUUUAUUAAAGUUCUUCCUGAUAUUAUUAAUUUUUGUAACAUAAAAAUUGCUAAAGGAAACACUUGCAUCUGGGACAAUCCUUGGUGCAAAAGAUGGGGAAAAAAAUUAUGA